UACAGAGGGUGCAAGCGUUAAUCGGAGUUACUGGGCGUAAAGGGCGCGUAGGUGGUUAUGUAAGUGAGAUGUGAAAUCCCUGGGCUUAACCUAGGAACUGCAUCUUAUACUGCAUAACUGGAGUACUGUAGAGGGUAGUGGAAUUCCGGUGUAGCGGUGAAAUGCGUAGAGAUCGGAAGGAACACCAGUGGCGAAGGCGGCUACCUGGACAGAUACUGACACUGAGGCGCGAGAGCGUGGGGAGCCAACAGGAU
rnacentral:rRNA from 1 species